rnacentral:rRNA from 1 species
UACGUAGGCAGCGAGCGUUGUUCGGAGUUACUGGGCGUAAAGGGUGUGUAGGCGGUUUUCUAAGUUUGGUGUGAAAUCUCCCGGCUUAACCGGGAGGGUGCGCCGAAAACUGGGAGACUAGAGUGCGGGAUGGGAGAGUAGAAUUCCUGGUGUAACGGUGAAAUGCGUAGAUAUCAGGAGGAAUACCGGUGGUGCAGACGGCUCUCUGGACCGCAACUGACGCUGAGACACGAGAGCGUGGGUAGCAAACAGG